GACUCCGUGAAGCUGGAUUCGCUAGUAAUCGCGCAUUAGCCAUGGCGCGGUGAAUACGUUCCCGGGCCUUGUACACACCGCCCGUCAAGCCAUGGGAGCCGGGGUACCUGAAGUCCGUAACCGAAAGGAUCGGCCUAGGGUAAAACUGGUGACUGGGGCUAAGUCGUAACAAGGUAAC
rnacentral:rRNA from 1 species